GGGCUUGUACUGGUUUCGACGGGGGUUUCGAAGUUUGGGAAGCCAUCCGCGGCUCUGGGACCGCGUCAAAAACCUGGAAAUUAAAUUUAAACGCAGACGAAAAUUUAGCGUUCGCUGCCUAAUGGUGGCUGUCGUUGCCUGAACCUCCCGCAGUUCAGACUUCGGCAUCAAAUCAAGCGGGGCACUUUUUUCUCAAAGCUUUGAGAGAAAGAAAGAUAUCAUGAAGCUACUGAGGACAGCAGCCUGUCAUCCGGCGGUUGUCUGAGGGAAUGUUAAAAGAAUGACUGUGAUGGGAGAUGCCUGAAUGGACAGGCUUUCGGACGCGGGUUCGAUUCCCGCCAGGUCCA
rnacentral:tmRNA from 1 species